rnacentral:rRNA from 1 species
CCUACGGGAGGCAGCAGUAGGGAAUCUUCCGCAAUGGACGAAAGUCUGACGGAGCAACGCCGCGUGAGCGAUGAAGGCCUUCGGGUCGUAAAGCUCUGUUGUCAGGGAAGAACAAGUACCGGAGUAACUGCCGGUACCUUGACGGUACCUGACCAGAAAGCCACGGCUAACUACGUGCCAGCAGCCGCGGUAAUACGUAGGUGGCAAGCGUUGUCCGGAAUUAUUGGGCGUAAAGCGCGCGCAGGCGGUCCUUUAAGUCUGAUGUGAAAGCCCACGGCUCAACCGUGGAGGGUCAUUGGAAACUGGGGAACUUGAGUGCAGAAGAGGAGAGCGGAAUUCCACGUGUAGCGGUGAAAUGCGUAGAGAUGUGGAGGAACACCAGUGGCGAAGGCGGCUCUCUGGUCUGUAACUGACGCUGAGGCGCGAAAGCGUGGGGAGCGAACAGGAUUAGAUACCCUGGUAGUCCACGCCGUAAACGAUGAGUGCUAAGUGUUAGGGGGUUUCCGCCCCUUAGUGCUGCAGCUAACGCAUUAAGCACUCCGCCUGGGGAGUACGGUCGCAAGACUGAAACUCAAAGGAAUUGACGG